rnacentral:rRNA from 1 species
GACGAACGCUGGCGGCGUGCCUAACACAUGCAAGUCGAACGGAGUAGAGAGCUUCGGUUUUUUACUUAGUGGCGAACGGGUGAGUAACGCGUGAGAAACCUGCCUUUCAGUGGGGGACAACAGUUGGAAACGACUGCUAAUACCGCAUAAUGUUAUUUGGGGGCAUCCCUGAAUAACCAAAGAUUUAUUGCUGAAAGAUGGUCUCGCGUCUGAUUAGCUAGUUGGUGAGGUAACGGCUCACCAAGGCGACGAUCAGUAGCCGGUCUGAGAGGAUGAACGGCCACAUUGGGACUGAGAUACGGCCCAGACUCCUACGGGAGGCAGCAGUGGGGGAAUAUUGGGCAAUGGGCGAAAGCCUGACCCAGCAACGCCGCGUGAAGGAAGAAGG